GGGGCUGAUUGGCUUUGACAGCGUGUAGAGACGGAAAGUAAGCAUGCAGAGCUUUGAUGUGCAAGCUCUAUAAUAACAACGCAUCGACCUAUAAUUGGCGAAAAUAACAACUACGCUCUCGCUGCGUAAACCGAAGUACAGUAGGUUCGCUUAAUUCCCGUCAAAGUGGCGGGAACGAGACAUCUCCCCAUUGCCUGGUUCCGAGACGUUUGGACAAGGAGGUGCAGAGAAAUUCGGAAAUAGGGUUAGCCGGGCCUGACGGUUUGCCCGAAACUCAAGGAUAAGGACAUGAUUGGUCGUCUUGAGCCUGUCAUGUCACGAAAACCAACUCAAUGACUAAGCAUGUAGAAAGCUUUCUGGGUCCGCGUUUGGACGAGGGUUCAAUCCCCUCCAGCUCCACU
rnacentral:tmRNA from 1 species